AGUACCGUGAGGGAAAGGUGAAAAGAACCCCGGGAGGGGAGUGAAAGAGAACCUGAAACCAUAUGCCUACAAGAAGUCAGAGCCCGUUAAAGGGUGAUGGCGUGCCUUUUGUAGAAUGAACCGGCGAGUUACUGUAUGGAGCGAGGUUAAGCAGGAUAUGCGGAGCCGAAGCGAAAGCGAGUCUUAAGAGGGCGAGAGUUGCAUGCAGUAGACCCGAAACCGGGUGAUCUAGCCAUGACCAGGUUGAAGUUGGGGUAAAACCCGAUGGAGGACCGAACCGACCCCCGUUGAAACGUUGGCGGAUGAGUUGUGGCUAGGGGUGAAAUUCCAAUCGAACCCGGAGAUAGCUGGUUCUCCCCGAAAUAGCUUUAGGGCUAGCGUCGAGGUAAGUUGCGUGAAGGUAGAGCACUGAAUAUGUGAUGGCCCCAUCUCGGGGUACUGAGCAUAAUCAAACUGCGAAUGUCACGCCAACAUGCUCGGCAGUCAGACAGCGGGUGAUAAGGUCCGUUGUCAAGAGGGAAACAGCCCAGACCAUCAGCUAAGGUCCCAAAAUGUAUGCUAAGUGGAAAAGGAUGUGGAGAUGUACAGACAACUAGGAGGUUGGCUCAGAAGCAGCCAUCCUUUAAAGAGUGCGUAACAGCUCACUAGUCGAAUGACUCUGCGCCGAUAAUUUACCGGGGCUAAGCAUACUACCGAAGCUAUGGAUCCCAAGGGAUGGUAGGGGAGCGUUCCAUGAACGGAGAAGUACGACCGAAAGGACGUGUGGAGAUCAUGGAAGAGAGAAUGCCGGUGUGAGUAGCGGAACGUGGGUGAGAAUCCCACGCACCGAAAACCCAAGGUUUCCAGAGGAAGGUUCGUCCGCUCUGGGUAAGUCGGGACCUAAGGCGAGGCCGAAAGGCGUAGUCGAUGGACAACAGGUAGAGAUUCCUGUACCCGUAUAUAUGUGAAGGAAUGACGGAGAGAGGAAGCUGCAGCCAGCGGCUGGAAGAGCUGGUGCAAGCGAGAUAUCGGGAUGGCAGGCAAAUCCACCAUCCGAAACGAGAAGGCGUGAAGCGUACGGAAAGCUACGGCGAGUACGGAAGGCAGUGGAGGAACUUCCAAGAAAAGUUUCUAACGUAAAGUAUAUAUGGCCCGUACCGAAAAUGGACACACAUGGGUGAGGAGAGAAUCCUAAGGUGAGCGAGAGAACUAUAGCUAAGGAACUCUGCAAAAUGACUCCGUAACUUAGGGAGAAGGAGUGCUCAUAGAGAUAUGAGCCGCAGUGAAACGGCCCAAGCGACUGUUUACCAAAAACACAGCUCUCUGCUAAGCCGCAAGGCGAAGUAUAGGGGGUGACGCCUGCCCGGUGCUGGAAGGUUAAGGGGAGGGGUUAACGCAAGUGAAGCCCUGAACUGAAGCCCCAGUAAACGGCGGCCGUAACUAUAACGGUCCUAAGGUAGCGAAAUUCCUUGUCAGGUAAGUUCUGACCCGCACGAAAGGCGUAACGAUUUGGGCGCUGUCUCAGCUGUAGACUCGGUGAAGUCUUAGUACCUGUGAAGAUGCAGGUUACCCGCGACUAGACGGAAAGACCCCAUGGAGCUUCACUGCAGGUUGAUAUUGGGAUUUGAUGCAGCAUGUACAGGAUAGGUAGGAGGCAAAGAGAUGGAUACGCCAGUAUUCAAGGAGCCGCUGUUGGGAUACUACCCCUGUUGUAUUGGAUUUCUAACCGGACGACGUAGAGCCGUUGACGGGACAGUGUCAGUCGGGCAGUUUGACUGGGGCGGUCGCCUCCCAAAGAGUAACGGAGGCGCCCAAAGAUACCCUCAGCUUGGAUGGAAACCAAGCGCAGAGUGCAAAGGCAAAAGGGUGUUUGACUGCGAGACCCACAAGUCGAGCAGGGACGAAAGUCGGGCUUAGUGAUCCGGCGGUGCUGAAUGGAAAGGCCGUCGCUCAACGGAUAAAAGCUACCCUGGGGAUAACAGGCUGAUCUCCCCCAAGAGU
rnacentral:rRNA from 1 species